rnacentral:rRNA from 1 species
GACGAACGCUGGCGGCGUGCCUAAUACAUGCAAGUCGAGCGGAUGGAAGGAAGCUUGCUUCCUAAAGUCAGCGGCGGACGGGUGAGUAACACGUGGGCAACCUGCCCCAAAGAUCGGGAUAACUUCGGGAAACCGGAGCUAAUACCGGAUAUGAUUAUAUCUCACAUGAGACAUAAUGGAAAGACGGUUUCGGCUGUCACUUAGGGAUGGGCCCGCGGCGCAUUAGCUAGUUGGUGAGGUAACGGCUCACCAAGGCGACGAUGCGUAGCCGACCUGAGAGGGUGAUCGGCCACACUGGGACUGAGACACGGCCCAGACUCCUACGGGAGGCAGCAGUAGGGAAUCUUCCGCAAUGGACGAAAGUCUGACGGAGCAACGCCGCGUGAGUGAAGAAGGUUUUCGGAUCGUAAAACUCUGUUGUUAGGGAAGAACAAGUACCAUAGUAACUGAUGGUACCUUGACGGUACCUAACCAGAAAGCCACGGCUAACUACGUGCCAGCCGCCGCCGUAAGAC